CAGUAGCUGCACAGAUUUAAACAAAUUUUUCUGACGUUUUUGGUUUUGAGACGCCUCCAUCCGUGUUUGAGUCAUCUAGAGAUCUCUCCUGAGCCCCUGUUUUAAACCUGUCCAGUCCGGCGCCCCCUGGUGUCUCCCUCAGGUUCAUUUGUCUCCAGCUCCAGGUCAGAAUCAAAAAACACUCGACAAUAUCCGAGUUUCACGUGACGUCACAGGGCGACGUUUGUCAGCGCAAAAUCAGACGGAGGCAAGAAGUGAAGCGACUGGAGGAAAAUGCAGAUGUGUCGUGUCGUUUACGACUGUGCCAAUCGUUCUAACCCAGAGAAGGAAAAGACAUUUUUUUUAGAGAACCGAAUACAGUCGUCCACAAAGGUCAGAAAUGGGAAAAGCCGACAGAACAACGCCGUAAAAAGUGGAUUAUAAACCAGUUUGUGUCGGGAGGAGCAGAAUUCACUAACGCUCGUGUCUGCAGUGACACUUCAACAAAGCUGCGAGGAGCCUCAAGACUUUCUCCUGGUCACCGUUAAAACUGAAGAAGAAGAAGAAGAAGAAGACAAGUCCUCUGUGCGUCGCCAAACAGCGUCCGAGGAGCCCAGAGAUGAACCCGACGGAGAGUGUGGAGCCGACAGUGAGGAGCAGACGGACAGCUCUGAGGACACUGACCGCUCAGAAGACUACAGUCCAGACCAGGCUCCGGCCUCCAGACGCUUCACUCAGACUCCUCCUGACAGACCCUUCAGCUGCUCAGGCCAGAGACCCUUCAGCUUCAGGCCAGAGACCCUUCAGCCGCUCGGACCAGAGACCCUUCAGCUGUUCGGAGUGCGGGAGAGCGUUCAAAAGCGCACAGUACCUCCGCUCUCACCUGAACAGCCACGUGUCAGCGUUGUCCUUCGUCUGCUCCGUGUGCGGCAGAUGUUUCGGCGGGAGCUUCUCUCUGCUUCAGCACCAGAGCCGGCUCCACCUCAUGUGCCCCGUCUGCCACGCGCGCUUCCUGGACAAAGCGUCUCUGAGCGAGCACCUGCGGGCUCACCAGGCGGACGAGGGGACCACGGUGGAACCCGCCUUCCUGGACCGGGGCUACCUGAGGCCUUACAGGUGCUCCCAGUGCGGGCGCGAGUUCAGCGGCGAGUCGGAGCUGCGGGCGCACAUGGUGGUCCACACGGGGGAGAAACCUUUCGGCUGCUCUGUCUGCGACAAACGUUUCCAGUUCAAAUCGAGCGUGAACAAACACCUGCGCUUCGUGCAUCACGUCUGUCCCGUUUGUAAAGCGGCAUUCAGGAGAGACGCCGACUUAAGCGAACACCUGCGGACUCAUGUGGAGGACGGCGCUUUAGACCCGGAGCUCCUCCAGGUGAAAACUCUCAAACCUUACAGCUGUUCAGAGUGCAAGAAGGCUUUUAAGAGAAGGUCGGAGCUGCAGCGGCACAUGCUCUUCCACACGGGCGAGAAACCCUUCAGCUGUUCGGUUUGUGAGAAAAGUUUUCGGUUUAAAUUCCAAAUCUACAAACACCUGCGUCUGGUGCAUCACGUCUGUCCGGUUUGUGAGGAGGUUUUCAUGAGAGACGCCGACUUAAGCGAACACCUGCGGACUCACGUGGAGGACGGGACUCUGGACCGGUCGGUUCUACAACAAGAAAACCCCAAAGUGUUCGGCUGCUCUCAGUGCGGAAAAGAGUUUAAAAGUAACUCGUAUUUACAAGUCCACAUUAAACUUCACACGGGAAUCAGCCCCUUCAGGUGCUCCGUCUGCGAGAAGAGUUUUAUAAAUAAAAGUUAUCUGAAAAUACACAAGAGAAUCCACACCGGCGAAAAACCCUUCAGCUGUUCAGUUUGUGAGAAGACCUUUAAGCAGAAGAGUUAUCUGAAGUCACACCAGAGGAUUCACACUGGAGACACGCCGUACAAGUGCUCCGUGUGUGAGAAGACGUUUGUGCAGAAAGGAUCCCUGAAACACCACGAGGCGACGCACUCCGGGGACAAACCCUUCAGCUGCUCCGUCUGUGACAAGACUUUUGCUCAAAAAGGAAACCUGAAGUUUCACGAGAGGUCUCACUCUGGAGAGAAACCUUUCAGCUGCUCCGUGUGUGAGAAGGCGUUCGCUCAGAAGGGGACGCUGAAAAUCCACCAGAGGAUUCACUCCGGAGAGAGACCUUUCAGUUGUUCGCGCUGUGACAAACGUUUUAACAGACGCGACAAUCUGAAGUCGCACCUGAGGACGCACGAAGGACCAGAGCCCGAGAAGAAGAACCCCAGGUCCUCCAGGUCUGGGGACGGUUCAAAGAAUCAAAAGUGACACUGGACCAGAGGAACACGGACACGACUGACCCUCUAAACCAGGACUAAACCAGGACUAAACCAGGUCUAAACCGGGACUAAACCAGGACUAAACCGGGACUAAACCAGGUCUAAACCAGGACUAAACCAGGACUAAACCAGGUCUAAUCCAGGACUGGACCAGGGAUCCCACAGACAUAAAGACACUUGGGAACAGAAAAGAAAGUUCUUCAGUUUAAUGUGGAAAAUCGGUGGAGAUUGUUUAAACAAAGGGGGUUUAUCGUUGUGGGAUCGGUAUCGAGUAUCGGUAUCGAGUAUCGAGUCCGUUCCAGUUGGAUGUGUUCCAUCCCUGACGUCUCUUCUUCUGCUGCUGGAGGUUUUGUUUCUGGAUGAACUCGAGCUCCAGAUUCUUCGUCUCGUUUUUCGUAUCGUCACAGAUCCGACACUGAGCGGCUUCUUCUGCUUCUUCUGCUUCUUCUGCUUCUUCUGCUUCUUCUGCUUCUUCUGCUUCUGGAGGUUCUUCUGGUUCUUCUGGUGGUUCUGGAGGUUCUGGAGGUUCUGGUUCUGUUUUGUGAUUGAAUUUCCUCGUGAACGUGGCUCUGUGUUUUCUUUAUCUCGACUCCUCAGACCGAGUUGAGGCUCGGAGCGACUCACAGCUCCAGAAUCACACAAACUCUGAGACAAAGUCUCAGCUUCAAGUCUUGUUCUCAUGUUCUAAUGUUCUAAUGUCCUCAUCUUCCUCCUCACAGACGGAGCUGGUGGAUCCGUGUUCCUUUGGUUCUUUUGAAUUUCAAUUAAAAAUAAUCAAAUGUGAAAAUAUUUUGUUGUUUCAUUUUUCAGUUUUAGUUUCAAACAAAAAAAAAACAAACAGAUUUCGACCUCGAUUUCCAACAUUUAAUCUAAAGUUUAUUUUAAAUCUCACAGAGAGUCUGGAGUCUGGAGUUUGAAGUUUGGAGUUUGAAGUUUGGCAGGACUCGGGUCUUUAACAGUUUGUCGAUCCAAACGUCUCGAUAGAAACGAGACACUUUCCAUUUGAUUCGCUUCAAUAAAAUCAAGUCUAAAUCAUGUCUGUGAUUCUAAAAAUUUUUAGUUUUGAGUAAAGUUCGUCUGAAACAGAAACAUUUAAAUCGUCAAAACAGAAAAUGUCGAAUGUGUCACACAAACGAGUUUUUUUCCUCUGAACAAAAAAACAAGACUGAAACUGGAACAAAAUCGCUGAGUCAAAUAAACCAAAACUCCUCUCGGUGAUUAAUCCAUAAAACUCGAGAUCUGAACUUCACUUCACUUGAUUUGUUUUCAUGUGAAGAAGUCAGAAAAUGAUUCUUUUAUUUGUUCAGAUUUUGACUUUUUCCUUUGUCCCUAAAGUGAAACAGAAACAGAAAAAGGUGAAAAGAAAAAGACGUCAAACUUAAAGAGCUGCUGUUAAACUCCUGCAGCUGUUCAGACCAACGCCGUGAAGUUUUUUGUUUUUUUUUUAUUUAAAGUUGUUUUAUGUAAAACUCGGACGUUUUUCUCGUCGUCUUUGUUUUUGUUUCUUGGUGAUUGAUGGAGUCAAAGAUCGACGAGUCGUUUAAAAGACGUUUUUUUCUCUGUGAAUAAAACCAGAGGAGCCGCGAUAUCGACACUGUCACUUUAAACGAUACGAUAUAUCGAUAUUUUUGCACAGCGUUUGUGUUUAUUUUAAUGUUGAUCUUUUAUUUUCUGUUUUAGUUGAAGUUUUGUUUCUUCUUUUACAGCGACGUGUUUUUAUUUUCACGUUUUACAAAGUUUGUUUUGAUCCUCGACAAGAAACACGAAACUGAGAAAAUAUUUUUCUGAAACACAAAACUGUAAUAAAAAUAUUUUAGAUUUUAGAUCCGAGUUUGACUCUGGAUCCCGAUCGAAGCCGCAGCAGAAAAUCAAAUAUCAAAGUUAAAACAGACACGAGACGGUUUGGAUUUGUUUGAAAUAAACUUUAAAUUCAAUUUUAAAAAUCAAGGAUGAAUUUUGUUUAUGAAAAAACUGAUUAUUUAUGAUUAUUGAUUAUUUUGAAUUGAAAUUCAAAAGAAGAAACAGAAAAGUCUCAGAGCUCUGAGUCCAGUUUGUUUGAGUACAUUUUUACUGUGAGUCUCCAAACGCUCUGCUCCACCUCAUGAUGUCAUCAGGUGAACAGCUCCUUCUCCUUUAGUUUCCUCCACGGCUGAAAUGUUCCAGAUGAUUCUAGUGAAGGUGAAGUGUGGAGUUUAAAAACACAGUGGAGCACUUCCUGUACCACCACAUGAUGACAUCACCAGGUGGAACGGAAUGAGUUCUUUCUGUGAUUUUAGUCGAUUUGAUGAAAAUGUGAUUUUGUGUCUGAGAAGAAACAGAAACAAACACGUCACGUCCUGAUUUCAUCAAAAUAUAUUUAAUUUAAACUGUGGUUUUAUUAUUAUUAUUAUUAUAUUUUUAUUUUAAUCAUUAUUAUUAUUUUAUAAACAAAAGUGUUUCCAGAUGCUUCAUGGAGCCGUGUAAAAUAUUUUACUUUAAGAGAAA